ACGUGUUUCCCAACAUCAAUUAGGCUAUGGCACGUGCACUAUCUGGAUUAUGCAGCCCCAAGAUACACAUGCUGCUGUCCAUCCUUGACCCCUUCAAGGACUUCUCUAGAUCAUUCUUGCUACUGAUUACAUAACAAAUUUAAAGUUAAUCAUAAGGAAUUUGCUGUUUCAAUUCAAUGGUGGACCAAAUUACUAGUAGGAGGGUUGAUCAAAUGCCAACAUUCAUAUAUAUUCAAAUUUAGAGUAAUUCCAGCUAACCAGCCACUUAUCCAGUUGGACCAAAUUACCAAUGGCACUAUGCACACUAAGAUAGUGAAAAUGAAAGAAAAGUGGCAGCAAUCACAUAGACUACAGCUUCAUGAAAGUGAAAAUAUCAACCUUUCAUAAUAGAAAGCGACUUCUAAUCUUGUUUUUUCUCAAACCUAAUCUCAACCCUUUACACUGUCCUGCACUAG
rnacentral:misc_RNA from 1 species